rnacentral:lncRNA from 1 species
GACGUCCUGCGUGUGAGGUAAAGAUGAGAGUUUACACCUUGGCAGUACUUUAAAGGCUAGUGUAAUAAAAUCGCACAUUAUAAAUCAUGACUGCCAUGUCAUAACAGAUCAAGACAGCGGUCUGUCUCGCUAUCAAAGAAUGAAAACGAAGUAGUACCUUCUUUGAUGAUGGUGGGUCUUUUUCUCGGCUGGAUCUUCCUGAACUUCCCUUUAAAGUCAGCCGGAGCGAACAUAUGCAUGGAGAGACUAGCCAUCUGAACCAAAACAAUGCCAUCUCGGCUCUGAGUCUCACAAGGAUCCAGUUUGCUGUCCACCACAACUCCAGCACUACCGACAUCCUUCACGGACAUAUCCAACAGAGAGACCACUUUCACCUGCUACCGAUCAGCAUGGACUCAGAUCUCCAUAGAAGCUCAGAGAAGUCUCUUGCUGGUCCAGGCUGUUUAGCCAGUUACAGCAGCACGUCUGAAUGGGGCAGGUGUUGGAUUACUCAACAUGGACACGCCUCUUUGUCGAUCCUUUGUAGAGCAACUGAUAUUGAGUCGUCUACCGACUCUUGAUCUUAAGGGCACUUUGAAAUUGUCUUCCAUUGAUUUGAUUCCUCUCAACUAUUGGCACAGCUUUAUGCAUUAGCGGUGUUGAGUUUCAAAAGGUCUUCAUUAAAAAGCACUGAAAGCAGCGCACAACUGUGAUUUAGAAACCGUGAAAGUAGCAUGAAUGUUAAAUGGAAGAUUUAUUUUGUGUAAUGUCUAAGAUUUGAUGGAGAAAACUAAAAAAACGAUAGGAUAAACCCCCAGCUUUUUCACUAUAAACGUUUAUUUUAAGCAACGUGAGAAAUGAAGUGUUAGGCUGCCCUCUUGAGUUUAGUAGUGGUACCGUCAUUUUUAUGUGGACAAAUAAAAAUAAAAAUAAUUUAAACCAAAAUAUAAAAGUUAAGGAAUUUAAUUU